ACUGACUAUAAAAGAAUAGAGAAGGAAGAGCUUCAGUGACCGGCUGCCUGGCUGACUUACAGCAGUCAGACUCUGACAGGAUCAUGGCUAUGAUGGAGGUCCAGGGGGGACCCAGCCUGGGACAGACCUGCGUGCUGAUCGUGGUCUUCACAGUGCUCCUGCAGUCUCUCUGUGUGGCUGUAACUUACGUGUACUUUACCAACGAGCUGAAGCAGAUGCAGGACAAGUACUCCAAAAGUGGCAUUGCUUGUUUCUUAAAAGAAGAUGACAGUUAUUGGGACCCCAAUGACGAAGACAGUAUGAACAGCCCCUGCUGGCAAGUCAAGUGGCAACUCCGUCAGCUCGUUAGAAAGAUGAUUUUGAGAACCUCUGAGGAAACCAUUUCUACAGUUCAAGAAAAGCAACAAAAUAUUUCUCCCCUAGUGAGAGAAAGAGGUCCUCAGAGAGUAGCAGCUCACAUAACUGGAACCAGAGGAAGAAGCAACACAUUGUCUUCUCCAAGUAAGAGAAACAACAAAUAAGUGACUUAAGGGAAAAUAAUGGAAGGAUUGUGCCAAGUAACUUAUUUUUUA
rnacentral:sRNA from 1 species